AUGGCAUGGUGGCGGAAGAAGGUUGUGUUCCCAAGUGCAUCGUGUGCUGGCCGCCGUCUCCAUCCGCGUCCGCGCUCGCAAGACAGAACAGACGGUGAGGACGGUGAAUCACACCAUCUGGAAGGAGGCACUGGGGCAACAUCAAGAAGUUCUGUUAAACUGAUUCAUAGCGGCGUUUCAAAGUUCAAUCAGAAGAAGCGCGGCUUUGUGGUUUCUACAGGAUGGAGAGGCACCCUGCACAUCCCUGAGCUGAACAAGCUAAAUCUAAAGUUGGAUGUGUUCUUGCUUACACAUGUGGACAUAGAUAAGAGGGCAAUUGUAAUCCACGAUGAUAGAAUACCCAUUUGA
rnacentral:rRNA from 1 species